GUGGGGAAUCUUGCGCAAUGGGCGAAAGCCUGACGCAGCCAUGCCGCGUGAAUGAUGAAGGUCUUAGGAUUGUAAAAUUCUUUCACCGGGGACGAUAAUGACGGUACCCGGAGAAGAAGCUCCGGCUAACUUCGUGCCAGCAGCCGCGGUAAUACGAAGGGGGCUAGCGUUGCUCGGAAUUACUGGGCGUAAAGGGCGCGUAGGCGGACAGCUUAGUCAGAGGUGAAAGCCCAGGGCUCAACCUUGGAAUUGCCUUUGAUACUGGCUGUCUUGAGUUUGGGAGAGGUGAGUGGAACUACGAGUGUAGAGGUGAAAUUCGUAGAUAUUCGGAAGAACACCAGUGGCGAAGGCGACUCACUGGCCCAAUACUGACGCUGAGGCGCGAAAGCGUGGGGAGCAAACAGGAUUAGAAACCCCAGUAGUCC
rnacentral:rRNA from 1 species